CAGUAGCCGCGGUAAUACGUAGGGUGCGAGCGUUAAUCGGAAUUACUGGGCGUAAAGCGUGCGCAGGCGGUUAUAUAAGACAGAUGUGAAAUCCCCGGGCUCAACCUGGGACCUGCAUUUGUGACUGUAUAGCUAGAGUACGGUAGAGGGGGAUGGAAUUCCGCGUGUAGCAGUGAAAUGCGUAGAUAUGCGGAGGAACACCGAUGGCGAAGGCAAUCCCCUGGACCUGUACUGACGCUCAUGCACGAAAGCGUGGGGAGCAAACAGGAUUAGAUACCCGGGUAGUCCCUGUCUCUUAUAC
rnacentral:rRNA from 1 species